rnacentral:rRNA from 1 species
CUUGAACAUAAUUAGUUAUGAUCUUCAUAAUUCAAAUAAUUUGGCGGUGAGUUUUAUUUAGAGGAACCUGUCUAGUAAUUGAUACACCACGAUAGUUUAUACUUUAAUUACAAAUUUAUAUAUCUCUAUUAUUAGGAAUGUUUUUUAAGAAUAAUUUUCUUUUGAAUUUAAUUCAUUAAAUUAGGUCAAGGUGUAGUUUUAUUAAUAGGUUGGGUGGGUUACUUUAUUAUUAAUUUAUUUUUUUUAUUAUAUAUUUAUUAAUUUUUAUUAGGAUUUAAUAGUAAAUUAAGUUAAUUAGUUUAAUUGAAUUAA